CGCGGGGUGGAGCAGUCUGGUAGCUCGUCGGGCUCAUAACCCGAAGGUCGUUGGUUCAAAUCCAGCCCCCGCUACCA
rnacentral:tRNA from 2 species